CCUACGGGUGGCAGCAGUGGGGAAUAUUGGACAAUGGGGGCAACCCCGAUCCAGCCAUGCCGCGUGUGUGAAGAAGGCCCUCGGGUUGUAAAGCACUUUCAGUGAGGAAGAACGCCUGGUGGUUAAUACCCAUCAGGAAAGACAUCACUCACAGAAGAAGCACCGGCUAACUCCGUGCCAGCAGCCGCGGUAAUACGGAGGGUGCGAGCGUUAAUCGGAAUUACUGGGCGUAAAGCGCGCGUAGGUGGCUUGAUAAGCCGGUUGUGAAAGCCCCGGGCUCAACCUGGGAACGGCAUCCGGAACUGUCAAGCUAGAGUGCAGGAGAGGAAGGUAGAAUUCCCGGUGUAGCGGUGAAAUGCGUAGAGAUCGGGAGGAAUACCAGUGGCGAAGGCGGCCUUCUGGACUGACACUGACACUGAGGUGCGAAAGCGUGGGUAGCAAACAGGAUUAGAUACCCUAGUAGUC
rnacentral:rRNA from 1 species